UUAUGCUCGUAGUAUUUUAUCGGAAUAUGGCUUUAAAUUUUCUUGAAUAACGCUAAGUACAAUAUGUAACAUAUGUAAGUACAUAUAUCAUACAUAAUAUAUACAUUUAUAUCGACCGUGGUCAAGGUCAUGACCAAUGCCAAGUGAAUAUAACACAAGUCGUCAGGUUUCAUAGCAAAUAAAAGAAGAAACGCAUAGAAGAGUAAAUAAGAGUAUAGAAAGAGUAUAAUAGAGAUAAAAAUAAUAUGUCAUGGUUUAUGGUUCAAUAUACAAAGCAGAAACCACGUAUAUGAACGCAGAUGAUGUUAUUAAAUAAAUAAGUUUCCAUAAUUAACGUUAUUUUAAAUAGGUAAUAAAGUAUAUAUAUAUAUAUGCUGUUAAAUGAAUCAAAUUAAAAUAUGAAUAAAUAUAUUUGUAAAUAGAGAAUCAUAUUUGAUGUAAUAUCAUUUAUAGAAAAAUUAGAAAUAGUAUGUAUUUAUAUAAUUGUUAAUUCUGUUUUAAUGAUAAUUCUGUUUUAUCGACUGAUCCGACGUAAUUUGUUAUAGUAGUUCGUCAAGAGUAAAACGAAGACGAGGGCGAUACUUAAGCUUUGUGUUUUCGUUGUCAGUUCCAGACGAUUUUAUUUUUCCGUAUUGGGUGUGUCGUAAUAUAAUCUCGACGAAAAUUAUUCUCGAUUAUGUGUUAUUUUCUUCUUAUUCGAUAAAAAAAAUUAAACGUAUUAAUAGUUCAACGAAGAAUAUAAUAAAGUGACAAAAGGAAGGUAGCAAUAAAAUAUUAAAUGUCAAAUUUUAUUAAAACAAUUACGUACAAAGAUAAUGUUGAUUUGUGGAAGAAUAAGAAAUAUCUUAUAAAAGAGGCAUUUAAAUCAAUGGAUACAGAUUCAGAUGGUUAUUUAGAUUAUCAAGAAGCCAAAACGGCAAUGAAAGCUUUAGGAUUGACAGUAAAUAAAUCUUUUGUUUUGUCAGUUAUUCGCAUGUAUGAUAAACGUGGUAACGAUAAAAUUAGUUUCGAUGAUUUUUAUUAUGUUGUAUUUGAAAAGUUAAAAAUACAAGAUCCUAUUGAUCAUGUUAAAUAUGCAUUCAAGAUAUUUACUGCAGAGUCUUCGAUAGAAAAAAUCAGAUUGGAAGAUUUACAAAGAAUUAAUAGUAAAAUUGAUUCUAAUCUGACGCUUGAUGAGAUGAAGCUUAUGAUCAAAGAAUUUGAUAAAAAUGAGGAUGAUUCUAUCGAUGAAGCUGAAUUCAUAGAAAUGAUGACCGAAUCAGAAAAUUAAUAUAUAUUUGUAGAAAAUUAUAUGAGAGGCUACAUUCGUUUCGUCGAUUAAAAUGCAUUCUCAAAUUAAUUGGGACGCAGAGCAUCGUCGUACAUUACUUGAGACUAAUGCUACUUUGGAACGUACAACGCAAUCACUGACAAGGUCACACAUAAUCGCAACUGAAAGUGAGCAAAUAGGGACUGAAGUAAUAUCGGAAUUAGCAGGGCAAAGUGAGCGUCUGUUACGAGCAAAAAGAAGAUUGUCCCAAACGGAUGAAGAACUUAAUAAAACACGGAGGAUUUUGAAUAGAAUGAAAAUAGGAGUGUUAACUAAUAAGUUUGUAUUAUUGCUUAUUAUAGUGUUAGAAAUAGUUAUACUUGGUAUAACUGUUUAUUUAAAAUUUUUUUAUCGAAAAUAAUAUUAACGAUUUAACGUUUAAGAGAAUAUUUAACUUGUUAAAUUCUUACGUAUUUUGAAUCAUUUUUUAUUGUAAAUAAAUUAUGAUUGAAAAUAUUUUUCAAAAUAAAUUAUAGAUUUGAAUAAUUUUCUGAACCUUCGAGUGCCAUCUUUCGGUUAAAUGAUCGAACUUCCAAGUAUAUCGUCGAUUAUAAGCUACAUCGAUAUUUAUAUAUAUAUAUAUAUAUAUAAAUGAAAACAUUCCUACUUGUAGCGUUGUAUAGGUUAAAGCAAGUAGAGAUGGCGCUGGUGAAUGUCCUGAAAAAAGAGGGUGUGAUCUUUCUCUUAUUUAUUUUACAUUUAUAGGCUAAUAGUGACAAUUACAGGUGACUGUUCGUCGAUGUUAUUCGAUAAAGAUAGUUAAAUAGAUAUGAGAAGUUAACAUUGUCGAUACAGUAACUCUAUUAAAUCUUUGCACUUCAAUAUCUCAUGGAGCUACAACAAAAUGAUCAAAGUGAAGAUACAACUGCCAUGGAGCAUCUUCAGUUUGAUUUAGAGAUGGAUGCUAUUACUGAGACAGCUGUGUUUUAUUCUACUCCACGAAAAUCCCUUCGGGGUAGACGAAAAAAAACAAUGGAUGGCAGAUCUCAAUUGCAAACUUCUUUGUUAAAAUCGAAUUAUAGCACUAACGCAGAACAAAAAAUAGGUCCAAAAUAUCGGCCUAUAUGGCCAAAGCCUUAUCAACCAAGUUUUUUAAAUAAGCCAAAAAUAUUUGGUUUACCUUCCACAAUGAAUGAAUUUUCUGCACUAAAUUCUGCGAGUCGAAUUAUUGUUACAACCACUUUGCCAUCCAAGGAAAAAAUACAGGAUUGUACGACAUUGAGCAAGCCUAAUAAGAGAACACGUAAUUAUUCGAAAUCCAUAACAGGAAAUUCUAACAGCUUGAAAUUAUUAACGAAAGAAAAUGGUAAUGAAAAAAAUAAUAAUAAAAACAAUGCUACUUCACGGAAAGAGUUUAGUUUCAUUAAAAUGCAAGAUAGAGAUAACAAAGGUAGCAUUGAGUUAUUUUUUGAAAGUAUGGCACAGACUGUUCUUAGUUUACCCAUGCAUGUCCAAGCUGAAAUUAAAAUGGAAAUUUGUAAACUUGUUACAAUGGCAGAAAUCAAAUAUUCUUCGACUCAAUCAAAACACGACUGUAAAAUAGAUUGACAUAAAUAAGGUAAAAAGAUUCUUUUUACCUUACUUAUUAAAACUUUAGGUACUAUUUUAAAUAGCUUAAAUGUUAUUUGAAAUGUUAAGUUAAUAUCUAUAUAAAUAAUGUUUAAAGUGAAAUGUAAUGUACAUAAAAUAUAAUAAGAAUAUUAUUCUAAA